CGGGGUGCAGCAGGCGUGAAAACUCUGCAAUAGGCGAAAGCUUGACAGGGUUACUGUGAGUGAUGUCCGUUAAGGGCAUCUUUUGGCACCUUUAAAAAUGGUGCAGAAUAAGGGGUGGGCAAGUCUGGUGUCAGCCGCCGCGGUAAUACCAGCACCCCGAGUGGUCGGGACGAUUAUUGGGCCUAAAGCAUCCGUAGCUUGUCCUGCAAGUCUUCCGUUAAAUCCACCUGCUCAACAGAUGGGCUGCGGAGGAUACUACAGGGCUAGGAGGCGGGAGAGGCAAGCGGUACUCAGUGGGUAGGGGUAAAAUCCUCUGAUCCACUGAAGACCACCAGUGGCGAAGGCGGCUUGCCAGAACGCGCUCGACGGUGAGGGAUGAAAGCUGGGGGAGCAAACCGGAUUAGAUACCCGGGUAGUCCCAGCUGUAAACGAUGCAGACUCGGUGAUGGGUUGGCUUCGAGCCAACCCACAGCCGCAGGGAAGCCGUUAAGUCUGCCGCCUGGGGAGUACGGUCGCAAGCCUGAAACAUAAAGGAAUUGGCGGGGGAGCA
rnacentral:rRNA from 1 species